ACUCGAGUGGCGAACGGGUGAGUAACACGUGGGUGAUCUGCCCUGCACUUCGGGAUAAGCCUGGGAAACUGGGUCUAAUACCGGAUAGGAGCCAUUUUUAGUGUGAUGGUUGGAAAGUUUUUUCGGUGUAGGAUGAGCUCGCGGCCAAUCAGCUUGUUGGUGGGGUAAUGGCCUACCAAGGCGGCGACGGGUAGCCGGCCUGAGAGGGUGGACGGCCACAUUGGGACUGAGAUACGGCCCAG
rnacentral:rRNA from 1 species